rnacentral:rRNA from 1 species
GACGAACGCUUGCGGCGUGCUUACCACAUGCAAGUCUACCGGCAACGCCCUGCUUUUCUGGUGUGCCCGAGUCCCGAACUGGUGAGUCACCCGUGAGUUACCUCCCCUUCCUUUUCUCAUACCUUCACGAUCCUGCGGCUUCUUCCGGAUAGGAGCCUCUCCUGCAUGGUGCGGGUUGCCUCGUUUCGGCGGUUGGGGCUGGCCUCGCGGCUUCUCAGCGUGUUGGUGGGGUAGUGGCUUACCAAGGCUUUGACGGGUCUCCGGCCAGCGGACGUGACCAGCCACAUUGGGACUGAGAUACGGCCCAGACUCCUACGGGAGUCAGCAGUGGGGAAUAUUGCACAAUGGGCGGAAGCCUGAUGCAGCAACGCCGCGUGCGGGAUGACGGCCUUCGGGUUGUAAACCGCUUUCGCCUGUGACGAAGCGUGAGUGACGGUAAUGGGUAAAGAAGCAAGGGCUAACUACGUG